rnacentral:rRNA from 1 species
UACGGGGGGGGCAAGCGUUGUUCGGAAUUACUGGGCGUAAAGGGUUUGUAGGUGGCUUGUUAAGUCAGACGUGAAAUCCCUCAGCUUAACUGGGGAACUGCGUCUGAUACUGGCGAGCUUGAGUGCAGGAGAGGAACGCGGAAUUCCAGGUGUAGCGGUGAAAUGCGUAGAUAUCUGGAGGAACACCGGUGGCGAAGGCGGCAUCCUGGACCGAUACUGACGCUGAGGAGCGAAAGCCAGGGGAGCAAACGGG